GAUGAAGAACGCAGUGAAAUGCGAUAAGUAAUGUGAAUUGCAGAAUUCAGUGAAUCAUCGAAUCUUUGAACGCACAUUGCGCCCGCCAGUAUUCUGGCGGGCAUGCCUGUUCGAGCGUCAUUUCAACCCUCAGGCCCCCAGUGCCUGGUGUUGGGGAUCGGCCCAGCCUUCCUGUAAGGCCGCCGGCCCCGAAAUCUAGUGGCGGUCUCGCUGUAGUCCUCCUCUGCGUAGUAGCACAACCUCGCAGUUGGAACGCGGCGGUGGCCAUGCCGUUAAACACCCCACUUCUGAAAGUUGACCUCGGAUCAGGUAGGAAUACCCGCUGAACUUAAGCAUAUUAAUAAGCGGAGGA
rnacentral:misc_RNA from 1 species